CGUACACUCCUACGGGAGGCAGCAGUGGGGAAUAUUGCACAAUGGGCGCAAGCCUGAUGCAGCCAUGCCGCGUGUAUGAAGAAGGCCUUCGGGUUGUAAAGUACUUUCAGCGGGGAGGAAGGCGAUAAGGUUAAUAACCUUGUCGAUUGACGUUACCCGCAGAAGAAGCACCGGCUAACUCCGUGCCAGCAGCCGCGGUAAUACGGAGGGUGCAAGCGUUAAUCGGAAUUACUGGGCGUAAAGCGCACGCAGGCGGUCUGUCAAGUCGGAUGUGAAAUCCCCGGGCUCAACCUGGGAACUGCAUUCGAAACUGGCAGGCUAGAGUCUUGUAGAGGGGGGUAGAAUUCCAGGUGUAGCGGUGAAAUGCGUAGAGAUCUGGAGGAAUACCGGUGGCGAAGGCGGCCCCCUGGACAAAGACUGACGCUCAGGUGCGAAAGCGUGGGGAGCAAACAGGAUUAGAUACCCGGGUAGUCCCAUGA
rnacentral:rRNA from 1 species